GUCACCGGGGGGGUCGGGACCGGGGCCGGAGCGCGGCGGCCGCCCAGCCCGGCCUUAUCUUGUCGCCAGCUGCAGGAAUGGCCGAGGCGCAAACUACUUUGGAAGAGAAAUGUGUUUAUUCUGAAACGUUCCUCGCAAUUAGUCUCCGCUUUGAAUGCAAACUCCGGAUGCAGUGAAGUCACUUAUCUGCGGAGAUAUCACCAACAACAUAAAACAGCAGGGGAAGGAGCAAAAAGUCUCCCAGCUGCCAGGGUCAGCUUCCAGAUUCUGGGAAGACGGCACUAAGGGAAAUACUCACUUACCUGUCUCAGCUUUCCACACCAGUAACUGGAGCCUGCCCCGAUUCGGUGGCCUCGCAAAAGCAAUUGCACCCCACUUUGCACCUGGCUGCCGCGAUGGCAACUCGAAUCUAAAAAUAAACCUCUUUGGGGA